rnacentral:lncRNA from 1 species
GCCAGUCAAGUGGAUCCUUGUGCUUAAACAAGCCUUAAUUAUUUUUUGUUUUUAUUGAUUUAUUUUAUAGUGUUUCCUUUAUUUUCUGGGACCACAAGAUGAUCUUUACUUUCUACUCCUAUGACCUCCAAACAUUUCCAAAAUAGGACUGAUCCCAUGAGGCACUCUAUUAACUUUGAAGUGGUAAGCUAAUGAGUUCAUGUGACUGGUAGUAUCUACUCUGUGAAUUAGUUCACUUCUGUGUAGCAAGCUACACAAUUGUCAAAUAAGAAUCACCUGUGCCUGUUACUGUUACAUACUAGUCGUGGCUGAAUAUUUGCCAAAUACCACGCACAAAUGAAAAACAAUAAGCUGACUUCAUGCUUUUGCUUGGGGAAUUGUAUGUAUGUUGUGUGUGUCUUCAAACGAAUCAAGGAAAUUUUAGAUUGUUGUAGAUGCUUCGAGGGAUAUGGGGGCUGAUUUUUUAAAAAGCAAUACAUGACCACAAGGUGGCAAUAGCACAGAUAAGCUUUAUUUGCCUUUGACAGGUUUGCAUGCAGGAGAAGUCCCUCAUAGCAGGAGAAGUCCCUCAGAGCAUGAGGUCUUCCGGAGUUUAAAGUACGGGAAGCCACCACUCAGAAAGAGUGGAGGGCAAGGGGACUUCCAGGGAAGAGGGAAAUUUGAUAGAGGGCUAUGUGUCUAGGUAACAUCAUUAGCAGCAUGGCAAGAGUGACUCAGACAGCUCCAAAGGGCAGCAGCAGAUUGGGGUCUUUAGGGCCCAGAACUUAUCUAUUGCUAGCAGAUGUUUGGUGCAGUUUUACUGAGUACACAAUACAGACAGGCUCUAAGUGGCUACAAAUAUGCUUAUUUAGACUAUCUGCUUGUUUGGACCGAUCUAACAAUUGGAUGUGUAAAAAUUUGAGUUUGGAGCUGUCAGAUUUUUGAGUUAGCGGGUCUCUGCCUGCAGUGAAGAAAUAAACAAUCUAGGGCCCCAUACACAGAUGCCAUUGUUGACUCAUUUAUAUAACAUUCAUAAAGUAGCACUAUGAUUUUUCAUGCUACAUCAACUCUCAGUUUCAGGAAUGUAAUGAAUGAUUAUUAAAGGUGAGCUGUAUGGCUGAGCAGCUUGUCAAUCUUGAUUUACACAGUAAGAAUGAUACAUUAUUAGCAUAGGACUAUUAUAGAAGUAAGAACUUAAAACCUGCGUUACAAUUCUAUUCCUCCCACCAUGUGGGCAUCCAAUGAGAAGCUGAAGAUGGCAUGCAAAUCCUGAUAAUCUACUCACUCCGUAUCCAAGGGGACUUGGGGAGAAUCUGAGGUGGCACCUGUGGUGGAGUGGACAAUGUUGGACUUGGAGUUCAAAGUCAUCUCCAGAUCCUGAUACUGUUGUUUGCUUGUCCCAUGACCCAUAGGUAGAGGAUUUAAUUCUGUAAAAGCAGUCUUCUCUACAAAAUGGGAAUAGAACUGUCUAACUCACAUGGUUAUUGUUGGUGCUAGAACAACACCAACAACAUUACAUCCUGAGUCCCAGAACAUAAAUGCUACCCCGAAUGAACUUUUAUAGACUGUUUAUAGUCCAUGUGAUGACAUAAUAGAUGAUGUCCCUACCUGAUGUGACUGGAAUGGUGUGGAGACAGCCACUCUGCAAUGUUGACUCAAAGAUCCACUACAUUAUAAUGCUCCAAGAAGAUAAGGAACACAUGUAUUUGUCUACUUCUGAAUAUCCAAGAUUUUACCGGGUACCUGACAUACAUGUGACAACGAAUUACAAGUGGAACAACACAUAGAACUGAC